AUAAAAAUUGCAACACACUCGUAUUAGCUAAAUCAUAUAAAUAGCUAAAAAGCUUAAGUUCAAGUCAUAAUUGAAUCGGCUCUUAGUCAACUCAGUACUACAAUCUAAUCAUGAAGGUCUUCAUUUUCUUCGCUCUUUUCUGCUUGGCUGUAGCUUCAGCUUCAGUUAUUGGACUCGGUGGAGUCGCUGUUUCUCACUUGGGAGUACCAGUUGCCGCUCCUGGUGUAGUUAUCGGAGGAUUGGGUGUACCUGGAUUGAUUCACCCAGGACUUGUUGGACAUCAUGGUGGAGUCAUUGUUGGUUAGAUAAAAACUUUGUAAACAUAAACACAUUAUUGAUCCUUUUAAAGUAACCCUUAAUAAAAAGUUUGAGAUUAUGUAUGUAACUAAAA